GUCGGUGGCCCAGUGUCUCAGCUGUAUCCAGGGAGAAGUGGACGUGCUGGGUGUCAUCUUCAACGAUGUCUAUGCAGCUUCCAAGUUCGCCCUGGAGGGAUUCUUCGAAAGCCUCGCUAUCCAGCUGCUGCAGUUCAACAUCUUGUGAGGCGGGCACGUGGGCAGAGGGGGCUUGGAGCCAGUGAUGGGGAGGUGGCAUCGAAAGGGGGAGAGGAGAGAUGAAGACAAUGAAGCUGAGUGCAGUGGCUCACACCUGUAAGUCCAGCGUUUUGAGAGGCUGAAAUGGGAGGAUCGCUUGAGGUCAGGCAUUUGAGACCAGCCUGGGCAACAUAGCGAGACCCCCAUCUCAGCCCAAAAUUUAAAAAUUAGCCAAGGGUGGUGGUGUGUGUACCUGCAGUCCCAGCUACUCAGGAGGCUGAGGCGGAGGAUU
rnacentral:lncRNA from 10 species